GGCCUGGCUUAGAAAAGGACUCUGUCAAGCAAGAACACUUUGAUUACAAAGAAAGAAUCCUGUGUGUGGAGCCUUUACUUAGUAAUGUAUGGUAAAUAUCUUUUCUUUCCUCAUUAGGCAUUCCACACCGAGGUGUUUGUGAGCACUCUGCAGGGCUAGGCUUAUUAACCAACCUAUGUUGGGAAUGCUUGGCACGCCCAGCUCCUUUGCAGCUGGCAAGUGCUAGGUUCCUUCUUGUACGGACCAACUUCAUGAAUGAACUCCCCCAUCCUUAUGUGGUCUAUGCCAUACUGCUUGACACAGUGUAAGUCACUUUCAAGCUUACAGACGUGACAAAGAAACACACCAGGAAGCAGUAGCGCAAAGAUGAAGCCAAGGCAGGGCUGGAAUGCUCCCCACCCCCUCUUUCCUUGCAGCUGUGGGCUUGACUGGGCUGAGCACUGUCCUUAGAGUAUUUGGCUUGGAUGUCAGAGAGGGUGUGUCAGCUAACCAGGCAGCUCCAAGUCACAUCCUGCCAAGGUGUUACCAGAUGCUAAAACUUCCUGUCUCUCCCCCAACACAAGCUCUCAGUCCUCUAGACCCUGAUAAGUGGCUGGGGCAGAGAUGGAAAGUACCCUACAGUGAUCUGGGUUUCCUCGUCAUCAUUGAGUGUGCCCUCCCCUCCCCUUGUCUCCCUCCCCCAUGUCUGGGGCCAGAGGUGCCAGACAGACUCAACUAUUUGGGCAACACUUGCCUUACCUCUUUGAGAUCUUAGAAAUUAAAUUUUCUUCUCCUUAAGAUGGAAAAUAUUACACGUAUAUAUGAGAAAGGAAA
rnacentral:lncRNA from 1 species